rnacentral:rRNA from 1 species
AUUGAACGCUGGCGGCAGGCUUAACACAUGCAAGUCGAGCGGAGAUGAGGUGCUUGCACCUUAUCUUAGCGGCGGACGGGUGAGUAAUGCUUAGGAAUCUGCCUAUUAGUGGGGGACGACAUUCCGAAAGGAUGCUAAUACCGCAUACGCCCUACGGGGGAAAGCAGGGGAUCUUCGGACCUUGCGCUAAUAGAUGAGCCUAAGUCGGAUUAGCUAGUUGGUGGGGUAAAGGCCUACCAAGGCGACGAUCUGUAGCGGGUCUGAGAGGAUGAUCCGCCACACUGGGACUGAGACACGGCCCAGACUCCUGCGGGAGGCAGCAGUGGGGAAUAUUGGACAAUGGGCGGAAGCCUGAUCUAGCCAUGCCGCGUGUGUGAAGAAGGCCUUUUGGUUGUAAAGCACUUUAAGCGAGGAGGAGGCUACCUGGAUUAAUACUCUAGGAUAGUGGACGUUACUCGCAGAAUAAGCACCGGCUAACUCUGUGCCAGCAGCCGCCGUAACAC